rnacentral:misc_RNA from 2 species
AACGCACCUUGCGCUUCGUGGUACUCCACGAAGCAUGCCUGUUUGAGUGCCAUAAAUCCUCCCCUCCCACGCGGUUGCCACUGAGCGCUGCGUGGCGCCGAGGGGGUAUGAUGGGUGUUGUUUUUGCCUGUGUGUGUGCCACAGCAGCGCCAGGCUCGCCCAAAAUAGAUUAGCGCCGAUCCUCCACACACGCGCACGGACAGUGUUGUUGUUGUGUUUUGGCCGCCUCCCGAGAGGAAGGCGGGCGCACGGCGAGGCGCGCGGUCUGUCAUGCCAAACUGCUGGCGACAGGACUGUGCACAGCAUGAUACGUCAUUUGCUGUGUGCCCGGUCCACGCUGGUGGGACAGGACGCGCGGUCCUUGCGCUAAAGUGCAGCAGGAUGGAGUGUGCUUCGAAACACUAAAGGAUUCCUCUCUCUCAUUUUGGUCUCAAAUCAGGUAGGAUCACCCGCUGAACUUAA